UACGUAGGCAGCGAGCGUUGUUCGGAGUUACUGGGCGUAAAGGGUGUGUAGGCGGUUUUCUAAGUUUGGUGUGAAAUCUCCCGGCUCAACCGGGAGGGUGCGCCGAAAACUGGGAGACUAGAGUGCGGGAUGGGAGAGUAGAAUUCCUGGUGUAGCGGUGAAAUGCGUAGAUAUCAGGAGGAAUACCGGUGGUGCAGACGGCUCUCUGGACCGCAACUGACGCUGAAACACGAAAGCGUGGGUAGCAAACAGG
rnacentral:rRNA from 1 species